rnacentral:rRNA from 1 species
UACGUAGGGCGCAAGCGUUGUCCGGAAUUAUUGGGCGUAAAGAGCUCGUAGGUGGCUUGUCGCGUCUGCCGUGAAAACCCGAGGCUCAACCUCGGGCGUGCGGUGGGUACGGGCAGGCUAGAGUGUGGUAGGGGAGACUGGAACUCCUGGUGUAGCGGUGAAAUGCGCAGAUAUCAGGAAGAACACCGAUGGCGAAGGCAGGUCUCUGGGCCAUUACUGACGCUGAGAAGCGAAAGCAUGGGUAGCGAACAGAAUUAGAUA